UGCAGCCGGGGAGUUAGCGGUGCCCUGUACCUGCAAUCCGCUACAGCAGGGGUGAUGCCAAUCCGAGGACUGCUUUCUGCAGAGCUGCCCUUUAUAAGUGGCGCUGACGUCCGGGUCUCGCGCAACAGGAACCUGUGAACCGUGUCAGGGCAGGAAUGCAGCAGCACUAAGCAGAACCUUCUGUGUGCCGUAAGGGCGCCUGGGCCGAGUUAACUGUAAAGGUAACGUCUGUGAAACAUGUUCAACGGGCGGCGCACG
rnacentral:SRP_RNA from 1 species